rnacentral:rRNA from 1 species
UAUUGGACAGUGGGCGAAAGCCUGAUCCAGCAAUACCGCGUGUGUGAAGAAGGCCUUAGGGUUGUAAAGCACUUUCAAUUGGGAGGAAAACCUACCGGUCAAUACCCGGUAGCUUGACAUUACCUUUAGAAGAAGCACCGGCUAACUCCGUGCCAGCAGCCGCGGUAAUACGGAGGGUGCGAGCGUUAAUCGGAAUUACUGGGCGUAAAGCGUGCGUAGGCGGUUCGUUAAGUCAGAUGUGAAAGCCCUGGGCUCAACCUGGGAACGGCAUUUGAAACUGGCGGACUAGAGUUUAGUAGAGGGGAGUGGAAUUUCAGGUGUAGCGGUGAAAUGCGUAGAUAUCUGAAGGAACACCAGUGGCGAAGGUGACUCCCUGGACUAGAACUGACGCUGAGUACGAAA